UACGAAGGGGGGCUAGCGUUGUUCGGAUUUACUGGGCGUAAAGCGCACGUAGGCGGCUUUGUAAGUUAGAGGUGAAAGCCCGGAGCUCAACUCCGGAACUGCCUUUAAGACUGCAUCGCUUGAAUCCAGGAGAGGUGAGUGGAAUUCCGAGUGUAGAGGUGAAAUUCGUAGAUAUUCGGAAGAACACCAGUGGCGAAGGCGGCUCACUGGACUGGUAUUGACGCUGAGGUGCGAAAGCGUGGGGAGCAAACAGG
rnacentral:rRNA from 1 species